rnacentral:rRNA from 1 species
UGCGUAGGUGGGCUAGUAAGUCCGUGGUGAAAUCUCUGAGCUUAACUCGGAAACUGCCGUGGAUACUAUUAGUCUUGAAUCUCGUGGAGGUAAGCGGAAUAUGUCAUGUAGCGGUGAAAUGCUUAGAUAUGACAUAGAACACCGAUAGCGAAGGCAGCUUGCUACACGAGUAUUGACACUGAGGCACGAAAGCGUGGGGAUCAAACAGGAUUAGAUACCCUGGUAGUCCACGCCCUAAACGAUGGAUACUCGACAUACGCGAUACACAGUGUGUGUCUGAGCGAAAGCAUUAAGUAUCCCACCUGGGAAGUACGACCGCAAGGUUGAA